GACGAACGCUGGCGGCGUGCUUAACACAUGCAAGUCGAACGGGUCUGCCCUGUUUUUUGCGGGGUGGGUCAGUGGCGAACGGGUUAGUAACACGUGAGUAACCUGCCCCUCACUUCUGGAUAACCGCUUGAAAGGGUGGCUAAUACGGGGUGUUCUGGCUGCGCCGCAUGGUGUGGCUGGGAAAGAUUCACUUUUGUGGUGUUUUGGUGGGGGAUGGGCUCGCGGCCUAUCAGCUUGUUGGUGGGGUGAUGGCCUGCCAAGGCUUGGACGGGUAGCCGGGCUGAGAGGGUGGGCGGUCACACUGGGACGGAGAUACGGACCAGACUCCUGCGGGAGGCAGCAGUGGGGGGUAUUGCACAAUGGGCGGAAGGCUGAUGCAGCGACGUCGCGGGAGGGAUGGAGGCCGUCGGGUUGUGAACCUCUUUCGCCGGUGAAGAAGGUCCUGCUCUUUGUGGUGGGGUUGACGGUAGCCGGGUUAUGAAGCGCCGGCUAACUACGUG
rnacentral:rRNA from 1 species